rnacentral:rRNA from 1 species
CUACGGGCCGCAGCAGUGGGGAAUAUUGCACAAUGGGCGCAAGCCUGAUGCAGCAACGCCGCGUGAGGGAUGAAGGCCUUCGGGUUGUAAACCUCUUUUAGCAGGGAAGAAGCGAAAGUGACGGUACCUGCAGAAAAAGCACCGGCUAACUACGUGCCAGCAGCCGCGGUAAUACGUAGGGUGCAAGCGUUGUCCGGAAUUAUUGGGCGUAAAGUGCUCGUAGGCGGUUUGUCACGUCUGCUGUGAAAAUCCAAGGCUCAACCUUGGACUUGCAGUGGGUACGGGCAGGCUAGAGUGCGGUAGGGGAGAUGGGAAUUCCUGGUGUAGCGGUGGAAUGCGCAGAUAUCAGGAGGAACACCAAUGGCGAAGGCACAUCUCUGGGCCGUAACUGACGCUGAGGAGCGAAAGCGUGGGGAGCGAACAGGAUUAGAUACCCCGGUAGUC